rnacentral:lncRNA from 1 species
AUUAUUUUCGCUUUCUUAUUGAAAGUUUUUGUUUUUUAUAGUUUUCUUCUAUUUUUUUACGAAAUAAUGGAAUACAAAUUGCUUUUUCUUCACCAUUUGCUAGAACGUCUAUCCUUUACCUUAUAUGGUAAAAACAGUAUAUUCUACCUCGUUCCCCCGAUUUGCUAUGUUUAUACCAAAAAAGGAAAUGGUCAAAUAGAAAACUCUCCCCCACGAUUUUCUUUGCUAUAUUUGGUAAAUAUAUCCUUUCCUCCCGACUAUCUGUCCGAAAGUGGACUCUCUCUCACCGCAAUAAACCCUUUCCCCGUCGCCCCCGUUGACAUCACCCUUUUCCCUGUUUACAUUAUACUUCGCUCACUCACCAAGUUGUCUUCGAAGUGUUAGGUUGUGUCACAAUUGUCAUUGGAUGAUCAGCAGCCUUGCUGCUCAAGGCAAGUUACCAGGAGAAGAGGAGCUUUAUCUGAGGAAGACCUCGAUCAAAUAUCCUUCUUAUUAUUGGAAUCUGAUGAAGAUGAAUCGAAUAUUUUUGACGAUCGAAAUAUUGAAUAUGAAGAUGAAGACUAUAUCGAUGAAAGUGAAAGUGAGUCAGAUACAGAAGAAGACGAAACUGACAAUUGGAAAACAUAUAGAAGAAGAGAUGGAGAUUUACUACGUUUCCCAUUUACUGUGAAUAAUUCUGGUUUUCAGAUUCCAAUUCAGAAUCGUCCAAGUGAUGAGUCAGGCUACUUUCAGUUAUUUUUUACAGAUGAAUUACUGCAUGAAAUUGUAAAAGCUACCAAUACUUAUGCACGAGCGAAAAUAG